UUCCGGUUGAUCCUGCCGGCCCCGACUGCUAUUUGGGUGAGAAUAAGCCAUGCGAGUUGAAUGGAAUACCUAAAUUUUCCAUAGCAAACUGCUCAGUAACACAUGAUCAACUUACCCUAUAGAGAAAAAUAACCUCGGGAAACUGAGGAUAAUGUUUCAUAGUUGAAAAGGCUUGGAAAAGUUUUUCAAUUAAAAGGAUAAGAAAAAUGGUUCUUCUCCGCUAUAGGAUAGGAUCGUGGUCGAUUAUGGUUGUUGGUGAGGUAAUGGCUCACCAAGCCGAUAAUCGAUAGGGGCCGUGAGAGCGGGAGCCCCGAGAUGAGUACUGAGACAACGACCCAGGCCUUACGAGGCGCAGCAGGCGCGAAACCUCCGCAAUACACGAAAGUGUGACGGGGUUACCCAAAGUGUUCAGUUUUGAACUGUGGUAGGUGAGUAAUGUCCCCUACUAGAAAGGAGAGGGCAAGGCUGGUGCCAGCCGCCGCGGUAAAACCAGCUCUUCAAGUGGUCGGGAUAAUUAUUGGGCUUAAAGUGUCCGUAGCCGGUUUAGUAAGUUCCUGGUAAAAUCGGGUAGCUUAACUAUCUGUAUGCUAGGAAUACUGCUAAACUAGAGGGCGGGAGAGGUCUGAGGUACUACAGGGGUAGGGGUGAAAUCUUAUAAUCCUUGUAGGACCACCAGUGGCGAAGGCGUCAGACUGGAACGUGCCUGACGGUGAGGGACGAAAGCCAGGGGAGCGAACCGGAUUAGAUACCCGGGUAGUCCUGGCCGUAAACGAUGCAUACUAGGUGAUGGCAUGGCCAUGAGCCGUGUCAGUGCCGUAGGGAAACCGUUAAGUAUGCCGCCUGGGAAGUACGGUCGCAAGGCUAAAACUUAAAGGAAUUGGCGGGGGAGCACCACAAGGGGUGAAGCCUGCGGUUCAAUUGGACUCAACGCCGGU
rnacentral:rRNA from 1 species